AUUGAACGCUGGCGGCAUGCCUUACACAUGCAAGUCGAACGGUAACGCGGGGCAACCUGGCGACGAGUGGCGAACGGGUGAGUAAUAUAUCGGAACGUGCCCAGUGGUGGGGGAUAGCCCGGCGAAAGCCGGAUUAAUACCGCAUACGACCUACGGGUGAAAGCGGGGGAUCGCAAGACCUCGCGCCAUUGGAGCGGCCGAUAUCAGAUUAGGUAGUUGGUGGGGUAAAAGCCUACCAAGCCGACGAUCUGUAGCUGGUCUGAGAGGACGACCAGCCACACUGGGACUGAGACACGGCCCAGACUCCUACGGGAGGCAGCAGUGGGGAAUUUUGGACAAUGGGCGCAAGCCUGAUCCAGCCAUGCCGCGUGCGGGAAGAAGGCCUUCGGGUUGUAAACCGCUUUUGUCAGGGAAGAAAAGCUCUGGGCUAAUAUCCCGGGGUCAUGACGGUACCUGAAGAAUAAGCACCGGCUAACUACGUG
rnacentral:rRNA from 1 species